GACGAACGCUGGCGGCGUGCCUAACACAUGCAAGUCGAGCGAAGUGAGUACUACGGUACGAACUUAGCGGCGGACGGGUGAGUAACGCGUGGACAAUCUACCCUGUAGACUGGGAUAACACCUCGAAAGGGGUGCUAAUACCGGAUAAUGUCGAGAAGCGGCGUCGCUUUUCGAAGAAAGGAGAGAAUCCGCUAUAGGAGGAGUCCGCGUCCCAUUAGCUAGUUGGUGAGGGUAACGGCCCACCAAGGCGACGAUGGGUAGCCGGCCUGAGAGGGUGAACGGCCACACUGGAACUGAGACACGGUCCAGACUCCUACGGGAGGCAGCAGUGGGGAAUAUUGUGCAAUGGGGGAAACCCUGACACAGCAACGCCGCGUGAGCGAAGAAGGCCUUCGGGUUGUAAAGCUCGAUAGUAUGGGAAGAUAAUGACGGUACCAUACGAAAGCCCCGGCUAACUACGUGCCAGCAGCCGCGGUAA
rnacentral:rRNA from 1 species